GAAAACGAAAAGAACUCUGUGAACAUACAAGCUUUUUCAAUUUUGUUCAUUCGAGUUCUCUCGUUAUAUAAACAUAUUCAACGGUCGUUUUGGUGGCAUCGACAACAAGAAAGGAAAGGCGGGCCUGCCCUAGAUCUUUGAAAUGAGGCAACUUGGUUGGCUUCCUCUCAUCACGAUUUGGAGGGAAGUAGAUUGAGCGUGGAUGUGUGCAUUCUCUGGAAUCCGAUUCAAAUUUCAAGCUCAGAUUUGAGAGGGGAGGUGAACCUGUUGGGUGAGAUACCAUUACCCAUCAUUUUAUAGUAGAAAAGGAAAG
rnacentral:lncRNA from 1 species